CGUGAGUGGUAUAAAGCAUAUUUAUUUUUUUCAUUUCCUUUUAUAAGGUUAAUUGAAUUCUCAAUGUCAUUUUUUUUUGUCUUCACAGCUUCACGGCAUUACUUUUGCUUUGUGAAAAACCCUGCGCCUCACUUACCAUGACACUAGGCUUAAAUAACAAGUGAAUCCAUCAUUGAUGUUUGAAACCCUUGACAACCUCCGUUACUGUAAAACGUCUUUUUAAUCAACAUUCCACUGUUCUGUAAAAAAAGGAUUGAUCUGUCCUUUGCAUCAUGUCCCAACCUGAU